GGAGUGUUUGAAGUGGGACAGCAGGAGAAUGAAGAAGUGGAGAGAAGGAAGCUUUCACAAUAGCUGGGUGCCCCCCCCCCCCCCCGAACAUAGGCCACCAGCUCUCCUACUAAAUUUCCAUAUCCGUUUUCAGUACCAGGAAUUAAUGGAGGACUUCAGGGAGGUUCUCACCGUGGAUACUGGGUUCGCAAAGCAUUUGCAUGGUGGUUAAUUGUCGCUGUCCGGCUGGGUGGCCGAUGAAGCUGGGGAAAAGGUACAGAAUCUCAGGAGCCAAUAAAGGAAGAGGUUAGGACAAGAUAGAGUGUAGCUCGCAGCUACUGCCGGCUCUUCUAAAACCAGGUAGCGCCAUGGGCUAUGCGCUGGGUCUGCAGCGCAGUCCCAGAAGAUAAUAUGGCGGCAAAGAGACUGAGGGGAAAGACCCCAGUUAAGGCGGCAGCACUCCUGGCAACCAGGUCGGCUUGGUGGCAUUUGCCCUCACAGCGGCUGAGGGCUUCAGCUGCCUAAAAAGCCAUUUGCUCAGCUUGCCCUGUCUGGCAACUUCUAUGCAUUUAAAGGGUCCUUGCUGGUUUCUGAGGCACCCCCUCUACCCCCGAAUCCUCCGGCAGACAUCGUCUUCCGAAGACGAGGGAAGCUCCUGGGAGACAUUCGCCCCAUCGUCUGCCUCUAAGCUACUGCUAUAACCUUCCCACAGCAGUCAGGAUCAGUUGGCAGAUCCCUAAAUUAAGGUUCUGAUUACUCUGUUGUUCCAGAGGCUUGUUUUGAGCAAGAUGCUGUGCUUUAAUUAAAAAGAUGAGCGCUCAUGAGUAAGUGAAAAUAUUUUCGACGCUUCACAAAUAUGUUUGACUUUCAUUUUCUUGCAUGUCACAGUAGGGGUGGGGGGGGUCAGGCUGGUCAGCACUUUUAUCCAUGAGGCCAAUAAAAACCUUUCCUGUUAGCUAACAGCUGGCUCUUUGCACAGCAGAAUUGUAAAGGGGGUUCGAAGUCCGGAAUCUGUUCCUUGGGCGUCUCUGUUUGCAGAUUUCCGCCAGCAUUCAGGUGUCAUUAGGACACAUUUCUCAUUUACCUUUGCAGCCAGAGAUUCUGAAAUGUUUCCUAACAGCAGCGCCACAGCUGGAAUGCAGCUGCUGCAGGGUGGAGCCAACACAAACUCCUUAUGGGUCAGCCGGGUGAGGGAGGGCAAGGAAUCUUGGAAGGUUGGGAAAGUCCUUCUUUCUAAAGCCAGAGCUCAGGAAUGAGUGGGGCCUCUGGUGUGAAAGCUUUCCAGAUGGGGGAAGGAAGGGUAAGUUUUUGCCCUCUGGGUAGAUUCCAAAAAAUCGCUUUGGGGAGGCCAACUAUUUUGAAACUGCCUUUAAAGCAAACAGCACAAAUGUUUAUAUUGACCUGGAAAACCCUUCCUUUUUCCUUUCCCUACAAUCCAAGUCUGUUCCCUUGAAUAUUAAUCAACAGGAACGUUUGCCCAAGCUUUUCUCCUCCCCCACCUCUUUUAUUAUUAUUAUUAUUAUCUUUGGUUCAAAAAACUUUUGGAAGCUUUUCCAGGCUGGAGCUAUAGAAUGCUUCCAGGAAAAUGCAUAAGGAGUGUCUGUAUUUUGUGUUUCUCUGGAGGGGGCUAACCGUGUUUUUCAGAGAGACUGAGCUGGGGGCAGCCAGGUCUUGUGCAAGUGGCCAGCCAAGCAAAAGGGCAAACGGUACCAGAAAGAUCUGUGCACAUCCCAAAGCACUGAAACGAAGUCCCUAAGGUAUGUAGGAAGAAGAAUUAGUGUUCAUACACACACUAACGAGCGAGUGACACAGCAAGGAGCGAGUGUCCACUGCGAGGCCCCACCCAGCUCCUAAGGGUGGUCAGCAGGUCACGGCAAGCGGGAGAUGCAAUGCUAAUGACUCCGGCUCCACGUGGCAACCAUUCAGGAAAAAGCUGCAAUGUUCUCUCUGCCACAUUAAUCAGAGAAACACAUCAAGAGCUGUUGCGUGGAGACAGCUUUCCUCCCAGUACCUGCCCUGCAUACUAAUCACCACCCGCUCCUGGCGGAAGCACUGGUGAGAAGGUGGAUCCUGUGGCUGGGGAAGUACCUCCAUCCUCAACGCCGGGAAAUGAACUUAGGAUAGAAACUUCUCCUUAUCCUCAAGAAGCAUCCCAGUAAAACACCAGCAGCAGCAGGUGGCUACGACCCACUGAGUCGCGAGCUGGCCGGGUGUCAACACUGCGAGCACCUGAAGCCAGGUUCAUCGCAGGAGAGGGACAGGGUGAAGUUCCCUAGCUGAGCCUGGACGAACUGGAGGUGGCCGCACCUGCUUGCAGAGGUGUCAGCAUAGAAUAGAUCAGAGUUGGUGACGACCAAACAGCCUUGUUGGGCUCCUUCCCAUGCACCUCCCCUGCUGCAGGCCGCCCCCCUCAAAGGGGCUUCACCCCACAGGCUGUCUCCGCAGGGUCUACUGGACGACCUGGCCGCCAGAGCAGGGGAUGCAGGUCAGAAGGCCAGGAUGGAUGUUGGGUUGUUACUGGUCCGCUCCAACGUCACGGGGGCCUUUGAUAUGGAUCCAGGUCACGUCCAACUCUCCCAGCCAGGGUUCCUCCUUCAAAAGAAAAAACUAAGAGACCUUGGAGGAACUCACUGUCCCAAAAAGUGCAGUAAGGAGUGGGAACUUGCAGAAGGCUCUGGUAGAUGAGGGAGUUAGACAAGGAGCACAGAGGAAAGGAGGGUACUUUUCUUUUUCUUUUUAAUAUUUAUCUAUUUGGUUGCACCGGGUCUUAGUUGUGGCUCGUGGGCUCCUUAGUUGUGGCAUGCGAACUCUUUAGUU